CAUAAUAGAAUAAAAAUCAAAAAAAAAUAAAUGUACGUUUAUUAAACAAUGCAAUUAAUUUGUUCAACGCCAACAAUAUUUUGACUUACCUACUGAAUGUUUGUUUCUAACAUUAAGAUAUUUCACCACCGGCUGACCAUUGCAAAUGAUAUUUUAAAAAAAAUAUGCUAUGAAAACUGCAACUCAACAUGUCUAUGGGUGAACUUGUCUGUGUGUAAUUAUUGGCUUUGAGGGUGUCAAUACUAUUUAAGAUUUGACUUGUUAUCUGAUUUUUAAAACUGGAAAUGCAUGUAAAUAAUCAAAUGUAUAACGUUUCAG